AACGCACGAGACCUGCGGACCUGCGGAGGGAUCAUUACCGAGUGCGGGCCCUCGCGGCCCAACCUCCCACCCUUGUCUCUAUACACCUGUUGCUUUGGCGGGCCCACCGGGGCCACCUGGUCGCCGGGGGACGUCCGUCCCCGGGCCCGUGCCCGCCGAAGCGCUCUGUGAACCCUGAUGAAGAUGGGCUGUCUGAGUACUAUGAAAAUUGUCAAAACUUUUAACAAUGGAUCUCUAGAU
rnacentral:misc_RNA from 1 species